CGGGCGGUAUCGCAUGUCGCCGAACUGCACCGUCGUGUUAUGGGGUAUGAUACAGGUUAAUAAGAAGUAACUGCAGGCAUUGCGCACUCUGCUCUGAGCCGUAGGGACCGAGACAGAAGG
rfam:Paenibacillus sp. 32O-W, complete genome.